rnacentral:rRNA from 1 species
UGCAAGUCGAGCGGAACGAGUUAACUGAACCUUCGGGGAACGUUAACGGCGUCGAGCGGCGGACGGGUGAGUAAUGCCUAGGAAAUUGCCCUGAUGUGGGGGAUAACCAUUGGAAACGAUGGCUAAUACCGCAUGAUGCCUACGGGCCAAAGAGGGGGACCUUCGGGCCUCUCGCGUCAGGAUAUGCCUAGGUGGGAUUAGCUAGUUGGUGAGGUAAGGGCUCACGGAGGCGACGAUCCCUAGCUGGUCUGAGAGGAUGAUCAGCCACACUGGAACUGAGACACGGUCCAGACUCCUACGGGAGGCAGCAGUGGGGAAUAUUGCACAAUGGGCGCAAGCCUGAUGCAGCCAUGCCGCGUGUGUGAAGAAGGCCUUCGGGUUGUAAAGCACUUUCAGUCGUGAGGAAGGUUUAUGCGUUAAUAGCGUAUAGAUUUGACGUUAGCGACAGAAGAAGCACCGGCUAACUCCGUGCCAGCAGCCGCGGUAAUACGGAGGGUGCGAGCGUUAAUCGGAAUUACUGGGCGUAAAGCGCAUGCAGGUGGUUUGUUAAGUCAGAUGUGAAAGCCCGGGGCUCAACCUCGGAAUAGCAUUUGAAACUGGCAGACUAGAGUACUGUAGAGGGGGGUAGAAUUUCAGGUGUAGCGGUGAAAUGCGUAGAGAUCUGAAGGAAUACCGGUGGCGAACGCGGCCCCCUGGACAGAUACUGACACUCAUAUGCGAGAGCGUGGGGAGCAAACACGAUUAGAUACCCUGGGAGUCCCACGCCGUAAACGAUGUCUACUUGGAGGCUGUGAACUUUGAGACGAGGGCUUUCGGAGCUCAC